CCAAAAUGUACAAGAUCUCGCGAGACGCAGUAAGGCACCGGUUCGAACUGGGGCGGGCCACUGCCAGGAAAGCACCGCCCCUGAAUGCUUAUACCAGUGGUUGGAAGAGGAAAUGGAAUUCCCCGGACUGCUAGCCAAAUAUACUAAAAGCACAGGACUAGGCAUGAAGGUGGAGGGAGGAACCCCAGGUUUGUUAUUGCUUCCCAUUUGUUUGAUACUGGCCUGGUUAUUUUCUGACCCCGUUUCUUCACCGCCAAAUACCCCUUGAUUUGCUACUGGUACCUGGAAGAGAUGUAACACCCGACCAUGGGACAUCAAGUGACUGUGUGAAUCAAACUGCCCAUCAUGAAUUGUUGUUAUUUGACUCAACCAAACUGUACAACUGGAUGAGCACAGGAGCAGUGCACUACAUAUGGGACUGGAACCAUGAAUGAGCAGGUGACUCAGACUCCUAUAGUACCUGCCUCUAAUCCUUCAGUACUUCUCCCUCAACCCACAUAAACUGUCAUCAUAAGGAGUUCCCUCUGAUCAGUUAAUGAAGAGAAAAAAGUAUGGAUAUUGUGGAUAUCCAAACAUCUCUCUGGCCAUUGGACCCCUAGAAACCUGUGACAAGUCCUGGAAGUUUUUCAAGGUUCAUCUUGUACCUUCUAGCAUGCGUAUGUCUUACCAAAGCAUGUAGAAUGCUGCCUACUUCUGCUCAUCAGUUUCAUUUAAUAUAAUUUCAUUACUCUAAUAAAUCAGUGUGAUGUUCUAUGGAAUAGCAAGACCAUCAAGGUCCCUUCAUACAGUAUAGAGAACAGGAGAGUUGAUGUAGCCUGAGACAAGACAGUAAGGACUUACUGUUGUUCCUCCUAUUUAAAUGUAGUCUGUUUCUGAUUCUCCUUAUAAUUAGAAUUGGGGUGGGGGGACAUUUCCAGAUCAAUAUCAGUAUCAUGUCAACAUGUAUAUUAAUUUCUUCCAAAGAAGAUACCACACCUAGAACAGCAACCAUAAUUGGCAUCCCUACCUAAUUAAAGUUUGCAGUCCACUGUCA